rnacentral:rRNA from 1 species
CAGUAGCCGCGGGAAUACGUAGGUGGCAAGCGUUGUCCGGAAUUAUUGGGCGUAAAGGGCUCGCAGGCGGUUUCUUAAGUCUGAUGUGAAAGCCCCCGGCUCAACCGGGGAGGGUCAUUGGAAACUGGGAAACUUGAGUGCAGAAGAGGAGAGUGGAAUUCCACGUGUAGCGGUGAAAUGCGUAGAGAUGUGGAGGAACGCCAGUGGCGAAGGCGACUCUCUGGUCUGUAACUGACGCUGAGGAGCGAAAGCGUGGGGAGCGAACAGGAUUAGAGACCCCUGUAGUCCCUGUCUCUUAUAC